rnacentral:rRNA from 1 species
AACGAACGCCGGCGGCAGGCCUAACACAUGCAAGUCGAACGGUAAGGCCCUUCGGGGUACACGAGUGGCGAACGGGUGAGUAACACGUGGGUGAUCUGCUCUGCACUUCGGGAUAAGCCUGGGAAACUGGGUCUAAUACCGGAUAGGACUCCGGACUGCAUGGUCUGGGGUGGAAAGCUUUUGCGGUGUGGGAUGGGCCCGCUGCCUAUCAGCUUGUUGGUGGGGUGAUGGCCUACCACGGCGACGACGGGUAGCCGGCCUGAGAGGGUGACCGACCGCACUGGGACUGGGCAGCGGCCCAGACUCCUUCGGGAGGCAGCAGUUGGGCAGAUUGCACAAUGGGAUCAAGCCUGAUGCAGCGACGCCGCUGGAGGGAUGACGGCCUUCGGGUUGUAAACCUCUUUUAGCAGGGAAGAAGCGAAAGUGACGGUACCUGCAGAAAAAGCACCGGCUAACUACGUGCCAGCCGCCGCUGUAA